rnacentral:lncRNA from 1 species
GCCGCCGCUGCCGUCACCCUCCACGGAUCACGCCGCCGUCACCGGCACCGCCUCCCUCCCUCGCGCCAUCACCGUCCGCCGCCGCAAGCUACCGCUGCAGUCCGUCGCUAGCUACUGCUGCAGUCCAUCGCUGGCUCAUACGGGGGAUGCGAUGCUGCUCCGGUUACCUCUGCAUCACCGGCUGCCGCCGUGAACGGCGUCUGGACGCCACCAUGGACUGCUCCCUGGCGCCGCCCCAGCCCGUACGCACUACUUCCUCAGGGCAACCCUCCUCCACGCAGGCGACUGGCCGCUCGUGCCCGUGCCACCGUUCAUCACGCCCCCGUGAUCUGCUGCCUAGCUCGCUACCUCAUCCCCCGCGCGUCUGUCGCCCUGUCCUUCUCCAGCCUCUGAGGACGAACGCUUAGGCAUCCUGCCGUUGCAUCAUAACUUGGACUGCUCCAGGGCCAACAUCUUCCCUGUGCGCUCCAGACACCUUUGUGGCCGGUCAAGUUCUUGGCGAGGGGCGGAUGUGGCCACCUGCUCUUUUCUGUAGUUGCUCCUGCACACCGCAACACCUAUUGGUCAUCUCCACUUAGCUAGUUUGUGUGCCUGGGUUGCAACCCAUUAGGUUGCUACACAAACUAGUGGUGUUUUUCAGUAAACGAUUUCAGCAGGUGUUCGUACUACUCACAUAAAUCCUCUUAAUUUAUUCCAAAAAAAAAAGAAUGUAAAGUUGAAGUUUUACAAGCAGCUGGAACACUCUACAUACUACACCACAUUCUAUAUAGUCUGAAUCUAUCUAUCCAUCUGUUUGAUUUUUGUGUGUGUGUAGAUGCAGCAUGUUCUGAAUUUUGAAUCUUAUCUCCUUUAGUACUCCUCGCCGCCACCACUUCGCCUCCUCCCGGUGGUGCCCCUCGCCCCACGCCUGGAACGAGCCGUCAACCACCAGAAGGCGGUGUGUGUUCAUGCUCCGCUGACCACCCGGCCGCACCCCUGUACGUGGAGGAUGCUUUUGGUCUUCAGUUUGGAAAAACUGAACUUCUGAAGCAACCGUAUUGGGAAAACACACCCACCAUCUUCGUAUUGAACAAAUCCAACAUCAACAAAAUUAAGGAGACUACAAAGAUAUUAAUGUGAACCAGUGUGCAUUAUAUAGGAAUCUCCUUGUAGUACUUCUCUUCUGAUACAUGUACAAAACUCAUGUUUUCCUGUAGUACUCACCUUGCUAUACAUGUACAAAAUUGAUGCAGGGAAGAACAUCAUAUGGAGGACGGGCUCCAUUCAGCCAAUUUUUCAAAAAUACCAUAUGUAUACAGAGAAGUUUCGAUGUCGUUGCAUAGUGGAAAUCUAGAAAAAACAGGAUGAGGAAGGACGCAGCCAAGUCUGAUGUGUUCUCCUGUUGAUGAAGUAAUUCAAGGAGCAGGUGGUUUCAUUCGUAUGAAGAACCAACAAUAAAAUCUUCAUCCCCAUGUUUGUUUCUUGUUUUAUUUCAAGCUGCCACUAACCAUUGGCAUUUUUUGUCUGAUGCUCCACGUCUUGUAAGUGUCCACUAAAAAACAGAAUUUUAUGCAAUACCAGCAAACAGUAAGUGUGAACUUCUCCGUUUACAUUCAUCUAAAGAAGUACGUAUUUUUUUAAAGUAAUCUGGAGGUUAAAAGAUUAUAGUCUAGAGAGUUCAAUCAUUGGAUUUUGGGAAGAAUUCAUCUUACUAAUAAAUAAUGAAUAGAAAAAAUAUACAAAAUAGGUUUUGGGUCAGUACUAAAUAGGUUAGGAAUUAUUUGGCGUUGGUGGGGUGUUGGAGCAUUACUACUACUUGGUUCACUUCCAUUUCAAGGGUCUUGCUUGAAGAUAUCUUUGAAGCCAUAAACACAGUUGUCUUGAUUUCAAAUAGGGGUCAUGGGUUGAGCUAUUAAGCUGAACUUGUUGUUAUGCCUCUGAACAUCUACCUCUUUCCUGUAGGUGUCGAUCCUGGUGCUUGUCGCCAUUCAUGAGGAAAGAUAGUCGGUCUUUGAACGGGUGAGUGAUCUUGCUGUUGCUGGGAUGCUAUUCAACAUGGGGAUUUGAUCUCCCUUGAGGUGCAGUGUAGCGAGAUAUAUGCCGCUGCCACUUGUGGAUUUAUUGUUGAGAUGGCCGCUCAAGCUCAAUAUUGAUUAGUCCUUCCCCUAGAUAUUGCCCUACAUGCUCUGUAGGUCAUCAGUAAGAACAAAAAGUAUGCCUCUAAGCUGCCUGUGUUUAUUCCACAAAAUAAAUUAGUAUGGCUGCACACGGUUGACUGUUCUUGACCAGUUUUUGUAGUAAUUUGUAUGGCUGACAAAUUUCAGCAGUAAUUAACAUGGCUUCAGUCCAUCGUGUCUGAUUUUCAGCAGGCCAACUUGAUUAAUGCUAGUGCAGCUCAUCUUCAAAAGUGUACAUGGACGCAGUGUGAAAUUUGUUCCUGUUGUUGUUGUUGUUUAGAUAGAUCACACUAGAACAUUUUGUACGAACCAUUUACUCAAGUGAGAGAGAUAGGCUUCUUCGUAGUUCAUCUAUUUCCCGGCAAAAGCAGAAAGUGUAAUGCCGUUUGUUCCCUGUGUGAAUAAAUUUGUGUUCCUAUCUGAAGUAAUGUUUUGUUCCUAGACUAAGAACAUUCUGUCCUAGUGUGGAUAAUAUUUUAUUCAUAUGUGAA